rnacentral:misc_RNA from 1 species
CGAAACAUAAUAUAUUACACAUCAAUCAAUUCGCUGUAAUGAGUAGAAAAAUCUUGGGAAAAUAAACAAUGAAAAAUUCUAAAAUUAACCAACACGUUCGAAAAACACUAUCGAUAAUCAAUUUUGAAUUAUUCGAAGUAAUAUUCGUAUUAGAUUUAUUUUCAAAUUCAAGCAUUAAAGAUAUUAGAAAAAAUCGACUCGUCGAAAAUUAUCUCGUUCUACCUUUGUUGGCCAGAAAUUGAUCUACGUCGACUAAACUCCAUUUCCCUUGUUCAUUUUUAUUGGAUAUA